AUUGAACGCUGGCGGCAGGCUUUACACAUGCAAGUCGAGCGAGUGGCGGACGGGUGCGUCAUAUCUGGGAACGUGCCCAAUAGCGGGGGAUAACUACUCGAAAGUGUGGCUAAUACCGCAUACUAUUAGAGCGGCCGAUAUGGGAUUCGCUAGUUGGUGGGGUAAUGGCACACCAAGGCCACGAUCCCUAGCUGGUGUGAGAGGACGACCAGCCACACUUGGACUGAGACACGGCCCAGACUCCGACGGGAGGCAGCAGUGGGGAAUAUUGGACAAUGGGGGAAAGCCUGAUGCAGCCAUCCCGCGUGUAUGAGAAGGCCUUCGGGUUGUAAAGUACUUUUGGCAGGGAAGCGGUACCUGCAGAAUAAGCACCGGCUAACUACGUGCCAGCAGCCGCGGUAAUUC
rnacentral:rRNA from 1 species